AUUGAACGCUGGCGGCAGGCCUAACACAUGCAAGUCGAGCGAGCGGCGGACGGGUGAGUAAUGUCUGGGGAACUGCCCGAUGGAGGGGGAUAACUACUGGAAACGGUGGCUAAUACCGCAUACUAUCGGAUGAACCCAGAUGGGAUUAGCUAGUAGGUGGGGUAACGGCUCACCUAGGCGACGAUCCCUAGCUGGUCUGAGAGGAUGAUCAGCCACACGGGGACUGAGACACGGCCCAGACUCCUACGGGAGGCAGCAGUGGGGAAUAUUGCACAAUGGGCGCAAGCCUGAUGCAGCCAUGCCGCGUGUAUGAAGAAGGCCUUAGGGUUGUAAAGUACUUUCAGCGGGGAGGCGUUACUCGCAGAAGAAGCACCGGCUAACUCCGUGCCAGCAGCCGCGGUAAUAC
rnacentral:rRNA from 1 species